CGUGGGGAAGACGGCCUUCGGGUUGUAAACCCCUUUCAGUUGGGACGAAGGUUCGCCGGUGAAUAGCCGGUUGGACUGACGGUACCUUCAGAAGAAGCCCCGGCUAACUACGUGC
rnacentral:rRNA from 1 species